rnacentral:rRNA from 1 species
CGAACGGGUGAGUAACACGUAAGUAACCUAGCUAUUAGACGAGGAUAACUACUGGAAACGGUAGCUAAGACUGGAUAUGAUAGAAAUAAUUUAAAGGAUGCUAAGGCAUCGCUAAUAGAGGGGCUUGCGGCGCAUUAGCUAGUUGGUAGGGUAAAGCCAACCAAGGCGAUGAUGCGUAGCCGACCUGAGAGGGUGACCGGCCACACUGGGACUGAGACACCGGCCCAGACUCCGUACGGGAGGCAGCAGUAGGGAAUCUUCGGCAAUGGACGAAAGUCUGACGGAAGCAACGCCGCGUGAGUGAUGAAGGUUUUCGGAUCGUAAAACUCUGUUGUUAGGGAAGAACAAGUACCGUUCGAAUAGGUCGGUACCUUGACGGUACCUAACCAGAAACGCCCCGGCUAACUACGUGCCAGCCGCCGC